UCCGGAGGGUGCAAUCGUUGUCCGGAAUUACUGGGUUUAAAGGGUGCGUAGGCGGCCUUGUAAGUCAGGGGUGAAAGCCUGCAGCUUAACUGCAGAAUUGCCUUUGAUACUGCAGAUCUUGAAAGUGGCUGAGGUCGGCGGAACGCGACAUGUAGCGGUGAAAUGCAUAGAUAUUUCCAAGAACAUCAAUUGCGAAGGCAGCCGGCUGGGUCUACCUUGACGCUGAGGCACGAAAGCGUGGGGAGAGAACAGG
rnacentral:rRNA from 1 species